CCCAAAUUCGAAUUCCACGUUCCCCCUCCCGAACCAGUCUUCUUCGUUCCCCCUCCCAAACUUCGUCUUCGAAUCGAACUUCUCCCUCGAAGCCAAGCAACCAUUGACCUCAGCCCUCCCAAGGAGAUCAGUCCCCAAGCCUUCGGUCCCUAAGUCCACCAACCUGAAGCCCUAAGUCCAUUUGACGUGAAAGGUGCCCUCAGUCCACCGACGGAAGCCGCCCUCAGUCCGACGCGAGCCCGCCCUCAGUCCACCGACGCGAAGCCCUCAAAUCUGCGGGAGGGAAAAUAAUCUGUGAUUCUAGGGAACUGCAAAUGCUUCAAACAGAAUAAAUAGGAAGAAUUUAGAUCCCACCAUCCAGCUUAUAAGUUCAAGCUCCUUCAUCACAUACUGAAAUUCUUAGGUGCUUUUCAUGUGAGACUAUAAUUCAUCGAAUGAAGGGAGUAUUGCGUGGUGGAUAUUCUGAGAGCUUUGUGAAGUGGCUCUUUCAUGGGGAGGCAUUGUUCCUUAGAAGUUGACUGAAGAGUCACUCUUCCUUAGAAGACUGAAAAAGAUUAGAGCCCCACAGUGUUUAUUCGCGCAUCCUUUAAUUAAUCUAUACUGAGCGCGAGUAAAUUGUUUCUUUUUUUUUCUUCCAAUCUUUGGCAAGUGAAAGUUCUUUACAUGUAAGGUUCAAUUGAAAGCUGACAACUUAACGGGUAUUUGUUGAAUUCAGAAUUAUUUGGCAUUCUCUGAUGUCUAUAAUUAAAACUUGCUUACAUAA